ACUCGCUAGCGCAGAGCUAACGGAGCGGAGCGCCAGUUAGCAUUAGCACAACAUUACACUUCCUGUAUGAGUCGCAUUAGGCCCGGUACCCACCGCUACUGCUGCUUUUCCCUCAGGACCUGGACUAAUCUGUUGCUUUCUUUUUAUCCUGAGUGAAGGCUCCCUGCUGUAGGAUGCUUGUUGAAUGCAGCAGUAAACUCUGUGGCUGUUUUCUGCUCAGCUGCUGAUGGUCUGCAGUAGCACGAUGAUCGACGUCCCCACACACCCCAUCCCGAGGCGCCACCCAGAGUCCUUCAAAUGAUAUGAUAGUAGCCACCUGGUUUGCAUUCUGUGCCAGCAGGAGCCUUGCACAGGUUCUGCGUCUGACUGUCGAACAGCUACGAUCUGUCCAUUUGUGGCGGUGCCUCGUGCGCCGUGGAGCCAUGGGAAACAGCUGUGUGUGCAGAGAGGACAGCGAUGCUGAGGAGGGACCAGCGCCUCGCAGGCAACUCCGGCGAGUUGAAAACUCGGAACCCCCAGAGGCAAGGAGCAUCCGACCCAGGGAUCCCGUCCGACCACCCAGGCGUGGCCGCGGACCGCACGAGCCACGCCGGAAAAAGCAGAACGUGGACGGUCUGGUACUGGAUACACUAGCUGUUAUCAGGACUCUGGUUGACAAUGAUCAAGAGCCUCCUUACUCCAUGAUAACAUUACACGAGAUGGCAGAAACUGAUGAUGGUUGGCUGGAAGUAGUGCAGUCCUUGAUCAGAGUUAUUCCUCUGGAUGACCCGUUAGGCCCGGCUGUUAUCACUCUGCUGCUGGAUGAGUGCCCUCUGCCCACCAAAGACGCUCUGCAGAAGUUGUCAGAUAUGUUAAAUCUGAGCGGCGAUGUUGCCCGCCAGGAUGCCCUAAUUCCAGCCAAACACCGUAACACCACUGCAGUGCUGGGCUGCCUAGCCGAGAAACUCGCUGGUCCAGCAAGCAUUGCACUUCUCAGCCCAGGAACACUGGAGUAUUUACUGGAGAGCUUGAGUUCUGAGGCUCAUCCUACUGUAAUGCUCUUUGCCCUCAUUGCUCUGGAGAAGUUUUCCCAGACUAGUGAAAACAAGCUGACGGUCUCAGAGUCAUGCAUCGGUGAGCGACUAGCUGUCCUGGAGUCCUGGGCGGAUCAUCCGGACUAUCUUAAACGUCAGGUUGGCUUCUGUGCACAGUGGAGCCUAGACAACCUCUUUUUAAAAGAAGGUCGCCAUUUCACCUAUGAGAAGGUCAACCUGAACAACAUCAACGCCAUGCUUAACAGCAACGACGUCAGUGAAUAUCUCAAGAUCUCUCCCAGUGGACUAGAGGCACGCUGUGAUGCAUCGUCGUUCGAGAGUGUGCGCUGUACGUUCUGUGUGGACUCAGGGGUCUGGUACUAUGAGGUCACAGUCAUCACCUCGGGGGUCAUGCAGAUCGGCUGGGCCACCAAGGAUAGCAAGUUCCUUAAUCACGAGGGUUAUGGGAUUGGGGAUGACGAGUACUCCUGUGCGUACGACGGCUGCAGGCAGCUGAUUUGGUAUAACGCGCGCAGUAAACCUCACUCCCACCCCUGUUGGAAAGAAGGUGAUGCCAUCGGUUUCUUGUUGGAUCUCAGUAAGAAGCAGAUGAUUUUCUACCUGAAUGGAAAUGCUCUUCCUCCUGAGAAGCAGGUGUUUUCUUCAGCCACGUCUGGCUUCUUUGCAGCUGCCAGUUUCAUGUCCUACCAACAGUGUGAAUUUAACUUCGGGGCCAAACCCUUCCGCCACCCCCCAUCUCUCAAGUUCAGCACCUUUAAUGAGUUCGCCUCGCUCGCGUCAGACGAGAAGAUAAUCCUGCCCAGGCACAGACGCCUAGCUCUUUUGAAGCAGGUGAGCAUCAGAGACAACUGCUGUACCCUCUGCUGUGACAAAAUGGCAGACACAGAGCUGAGACCUUGUACACACAGUGGGAUUUGUAUGGAGUGUGCCUUACAGCUGGAGACAUGCCCAUUGUGUCGUCAGGACAUUCAGACGCGAGUCAGACUCAUUUCCCAUGUGUCCUGACAUCAGCUCACGAAGCCAAGACACAAACAAAUUCCCCAAGCUUCCAUCCCAUCCAGUUCUGUCCAAGAAAGCCCACCUGACUGAUAAAAUCAUGGCGCUGUUUCAGGGUGGAAUGCUGCAGCGACAAACGCUGUGACGAAAAGAGGGCUGGAUCUUUCUUUCUCCUGAAGAAUGCAUACCUCCAAGAAGGAGAGAUAGAGAGGAACAUGUGGCUCACAAGACGGCCAUCCCCGGUCAGAAAGGUGGGGGAGUCCUAGAGAAGAAGAAAAAACGUCUGAGUAGGAACCAGAGUACCCGUAACAAACUUGUUUGGAUACUACAUGAGCAACAUCAUUGACCAACCCUCCAAAAAAGUGCAAUUUCAUAAGAAUUGCAGGGACUAGAAGACACCUGACUGUGGGGAUUCUACUGAUGGGAGCAAAUCCUGUUCUCCAGCCGCAAAUGAAAAUACACAGACAAAUAUAGAAUUUCCAGUAACAACAAAUCAACCAGCCAUGAAUGAACUGUAUAGCACCAGCAGCUAAAUGCCUUGAAAAAUUGACCGCAACAUGCCCAGAGAGCAGGCUUUGGAGUUGAUAAUGGCUGAGAUUGGACAUGGGAACGGUGCCCGGCCACAGCGUGACCCGGCGGAGGCAGCGGCAAGGGCUACCAAACUCACCGAGGACUACCUGGAGCGAGUAAACCUUGAGUGCCAUGCUGUGCCCUGCACCACUCGCCACCUGCUCUACCUGAUGGCUGAGGGCCUACACCGAUACCCAGAAGAGCUGGACUACAUUGCUGAGUACCUACACAACCGGCAGGUCCAUCUGCAAGAAUGUUCUCCAAAAGUAGAUGAUGAAGUGGCUCUUGAGUCUCCCUGCGAAUUUGGAGACUCCCACACCUCUUUGAUCUACUCCAGUCUGCCCUGGUCCACCACUAAAUGAGCAUCCAACUCUUUCCUCAGGUCCGGUGAAUCAGAUCAGGUGUUCGGUUAAUUACUUUAUUUAGACACGGCAACCAAUCAGCUACAGUUAAGUGUAGUGUAAAUAGUCAAAGAAGUUGAAAGAACUAGGUUCCUAUUGAUUGGCUGCUUUACAUUGCACCUGGAUAUCAGUACCUACGUAAAUGAUAGGUGCAAUGUUAUGUUAUAGGUCCACUUAGUGCCAGUAUAUAGAUAGAAUUUAGCCCACUAGAUUUUUAGCUUGUUUUUAUUCUGUGUCAAUGGAUGCUUUAUGUAUGUAAGAAGUUGUUUGUCUGAUGUGAGCUGCCGUAACAAAGACAUUUUCUGCAAAUGAUCAAUAAAGAAUCA